ensembl:lncRNA
ACUGUACACCAGCAUUUAUGUUCAGUAGUAUGACAUUAAUGUGUGGAAAUUGACAUUUCUUUUUUCAUUGUGUGAUUGUUAUUUUCAGAAAUAAUGCUCUGGUAACAACAAAAAAAAAAAAAUAUAUAUAUAUAUAUAAUUCAACAGAAAGAUGAUGGCUGUGGUGAAACAAGUGCUCAAAUAACAAAAUACGUGUUAUUGUGCAAGGGGUAGUUGCAUGGACUAUCAGUGGAGGGUCAGAAGGCUCAGAGAUUUCAUUAUAAAGAUCUUUAUUUGUGUUCUGAAGAUGAACAAAAGACUUAUGGGUUCGGAAUGACAUGAGGACUACAUCCAAAAUAGUGUUUCCACAUCUGAGAUAAAGUCAGUCACUAGCAAGCGGAACGAUGAGGAUAAGUUCUUCAAAAAAUGAAACCUGCCUGAAAAAUGAGGGAAGAAAUGUGCAUGAUUGCGUGAUUUGUAAAUAAACAUUAAGGACAUUUAGUGUAACUCUCAGUCUGUUAUUUU